GUAGUUGUGUCCGAGUGGUUGAGGAAUCAGGCGUUCCCUGUUAAGGAAAUUUCCUCGCAUGGGUUCGAAUCCCAUCAACUGCC
rnacentral:tRNA from 1 species